rnacentral:tRNA from 1 species
AAGAAAGUAACUUAAUAGGCAAAGUACUUUUCUAUAAUAGGACAAAAUAUUAGUUCGAGUCCAAUCUUUCUUA